CCUUCACCGCCAAGAUUUUGAAGACAUCCAAGUUCCAUUUUUUUUUUCUGUUUCCUUCUUCAAUUUGCAGAGAACUUCUAAGAGAGAGUUUGGAAGAAAAAGAGAAAUUUUACUAGAAUUUUUAGGUUGAAGAAGAGGAGGAGAACUCAAGCAAAGUGUAUCAAUGGCUGAACUUUAGUUCAUUCUGCACAUCACUGGUUUUUAAUUCGGUUUGAACUCUUCAAAAGGAAUUAAGAGGUGAGAUUUACAUUUACUGAAAGUUAACUCAUUUUUAAACAAACUUUAUGAAGAACGUUGGAGCAAAUUCGGAUAUUCAUUUGGUGCUUUUCGAUGAAGAAAACAGGGCAGUUGGUUUUCACUUGAAAUCAGGAGGUCUCUGGUUUUUCUUGUAUUUCAGAGUGUAUCGGUGGAGUUAGAAUCUCUAUUUGGUAUGGUUGGAAAGCUUAUUCCAUUUACUACAACUUUCAUGAAGAAAUUGUAAACCAAAAACGACUAAAAAUUAGUUAAAUUAUAGGGACAAGUUAAAGAGGUCGUGUGCGCGCGAUUCGGGAAGUGGUUAUGUUUUGAGGGUUAUAUGUGUUUAUGCACGGGGAAUCAGAUUUAUAUGUCUUCAGGCCGAGAAGAUUUAAACCGAGCUUAUAGACCAAGGAUCUAGCCCAAGACUGUGAGUGACAAAACCAACUUUUAAAUAUUUUCCAUAACUGUUAUUAUGAUUGAAUGCGAUAAAUGUUUAUUUACGAAGCCAUGAAAGGUAUUUGAAUUUCAUGACUAUUUUCAAGUAUACAUUUGGAGACUAGAUUUCUUAAAGAAAUUUAUGCUAGCACGUAGAUAUUAAAUGUUUGGAAAGUAUUUAAACCACAAUAUUUUAAGCAAAGCAUGAAUUAGUAUGAAGUUUUGUUUUGAGAACUACAAUUUUCCACGAAAGAGCUGAGUAAAGUUCGAGCUUUGUGUAAAAUUUAUAAGCAGGCAUGUUUUAAUAUUUUAUGAUGAUUUAUGAAAUUUUCAUUAACUACAUGACUGAGAUCUUGAGCCUGAGGCUAGAGAUUACCGUGUGCACACUGGUUAGAUUUCGUUGUUGACGUUGAGUGUACUCCGUAACAACGAUGCUGUCGUGAGUGCUGGGCGGGCCCCACUACGACAAAGAUGAUGGGAGUGCUGGGCGGGCCCCACUACAUCGUAGUGCUUGUAAACGUUGUUGUACUAGGUGUACCCUACACAACGUAGAUUCGUCAUGUUAGUUAAAAUGCUUCGAUAUACUUGAUAUGCCUUGCUAGAUUUCAAUGAUGAACAUGCUGAGUAUUUAAGGAAGCUAUUCUUACUACUACACAUUUACAUUUGCGACUUGUAUAGACAGAUUUAUAUGUGUAAAGUUUUCACGUGCUCUUAUCUUUAAAUUCAUAGUUUUAAACUGAGUCACUCACUGAGCUUCAUAGCUCACCCUUUCCAAAAUGUUUUACCCAUUUUCCAGGUAGAGAUCGACUUCCCGGUGCCUGAUAGACUGCCUUAGUCUGUGAAAGCUUCAUUAUCGAUUGUCAGUACGUGUUGUGAGUUGGGCAUAGAGUAUGUUGUGUUGUGAUGUAUAUACACCCUUGUAUGUUAUAGAUACUCCACAAUUUGUAUAAGCUUUAGGAGCUGUAGUUGUGUAAAUUUUGUUGGUUAUAUUUUGAUUAUUGUGUCUUUAGGUUUACUCGUGAAAUCGGUAAAUUUUGAGGUACACUUCAUGUAUGUGUUUGACUAGCUGUGUUUGACUAGCCUAGGAUCCGCUGUGUUUUGUGGCAUGUACAAUAGUUUAUAUACUAGAUUGGCAAGUUUAUCACAUGAAAGUUUUAAGCAGAGUCGACAGAUACAGGUACAGAAAAGCGUUGUUCGUCGGCUUCACGCCAUCUUUCGGUCUAAGGUAGCAGGUAGUCCGGGAGGGGGUGUGACAGCACAUGAUUCCAACAUUCAAUUUUUAUUAUUUUUUAUUUCUUUCUUUCUUAGCCAAUGGAUCUAUUAAUGUUGCACUUGCAAAGGAAGAUGUUAGCAAAAAGCAUCUUUACACGUUCUGGCGUUCCAAGAGAAAGAAUUAGUUGUUCAACAGCUUUUCAACGAUCGUGUCAUGAUGAAAAAUGGUGACAAGGUUGUAUGGACGAACCAAACUACCCACAUUGCUUUAUAGGCUAAACUCACAUGUCAAUACUACUUUGACUACAUUCUUGGUGUAGCAUCUCAGAUCGUAGAGGGUGGUCAGAUGUUCGGUACAUGAUUGGGUCAGUCAACCUUAGACAACACUAGAUGGCUCUUAUCGCUAACUAAAAAAAUGCAUGAUUCUUGUGUUCGAGUCUAUGACCAACUACAUUAAACAAAGUAUUGUUGACAACACUCUCCAAGCAGUCGCACGAUGCAUCCCUUCACUGUUGAUAGUCGUUGGAAUUUAUGAAUCAAUACUGCAAUUCAAAUUCAACUCAUGGCCAGUAAUUAGAUCCAAAAAGAUAUUGCAAUACGAGAAGUCGUUGGAUUGCGGGAUUUUUUGUGGUAUAUUUACUAAAUGCCUUUUAACAAA